GACCCCUCCCUGUAACUUGUCAACGGAAACGGGGGACGGGAGGGCAGCUGCCGCCGGGCCGCAAACCUUAGGCAGCCCAAUUACCGGCUGCAUUUCCCUUUGCACGUGAAUACUGCUCUAAUGCCAUUACACUGUAGGAUCUGUGGCGGUUCGAGGGCAUGCGACAAUAAAAAAAACCCAUACAGCCAUCAGCAAGUCUUAGCUUGAGCAGAUCUUUGGGAGCUGGGCAAGACUCUCACAAAAAAAAAAAAAAGCUUGGCACCCCUCUUACAGGCAUUGUCAACUCUGGGUCCCACCGCUGACUGUACAUUUCCGGUAAAAAAAAAAAAUCACACCGGAACUCCUCUCGGAUUUGUCUAAGUGUGCGUAAGCAUUGUGACUCUUCCUCAUCUACACGCAGUCCAUGUCGUUAUCAAUGUUAUGAGACUUGAGCCGACAAGUAUAAGCGACAGCGCUGCGGCGACACGAGCUGCUCUGGUCGGCGGCGCAAGCAAAGUACUGCAGGUGGCGGGGCCAGGCGCGCUGGUGACGUUCCGUUCGUUUUGAGCUGUUAUCGCUCUUUAGCCCUCCUCAUCCGCGCCGAAACAUUAUCAACCGUUCUCCGGCGGCGGCUGCUUGUGGCACGGCCGCGCGAACCGUAUCUUGAAAGCGAACUGCAUUGUGGACAGAGUGUGCCCACUGCUGAAACCUUCCCGCGCUGUGUUCGCACCGUUUACUUCGCUUUGAAAACAGACGCGCGUACACCUAUCUUGAAAGUGUUCUGCGAAAAGCGCAUAGUGCGGCAUGAGCUGAGAGCUUCGUGAGCGCAGUGUUCUCGCCGCUUCGGUCGCGUUGAAGCGAGAGCUAGCACGAAGGUGAAUUCACUCGCUGUUGCGGGUUCUAUUUUGAAACGUAUCGUGUGGUACGGACUGACGGACGGAUGUUUUUUCUUGUUGGAGAAGUAUAGAAAUGCUUACGUUAUAAAAAAAAUCGCAGGGUUCGCGAAUUUCGCGAUAAGAACCAACACCAACCCACUCCUCGGCGCCCCGCGGAGCGAUGCCGUCUUGAUCGCCCCCUCCCAACCCCGGGAAAAGGGACACUACCUAUCUCAGUUGAAGAAACGAUGAUGAAACGUUAACGACAAGAACGGCAUCUCCUAACGAGUUGUCUUAUGGCCUCUGAGAUUUGCGCGCGCAGCUGGCGCGCGCGAACCUGGGAGGCCCUAAUUGGCCGCUUAAUAGCAUAAAAAGACAAAGAUAAUGCCAAAUGACACAGUUAAAAAUUCAAACAAAUAACUGAUCUUAAUUAUACUGUUUGGGAAAAAGAAAUAAAAAAUUAGACAGCCGCAACACACGCCACUAAAGCCACCACCGCCGGCAUAACGCGGAACCAACAGUUGGCAACAUUCAUUCGCGCGUCAUUGCUUCGUUCGCUUCGUCUUCGCAACGAGAGCCGCCAUCUUCUCGCGCCUAACGUUUUGUAUGGCUUUGUUCUCUGCAAUCCGCGCACGCAGCUCAUCGGUGGAUGCACGUCUGCUCGGCGUCGCAAUGCGGCCUGCGUCAUUUUUUGGUGUUCGCGCAAUCGGUGUGAAGCAUGUCGCAUGUGAAAUGUUUGGUAGAAGUGCCUCACGUCCAAGUCAAGCCGCCGUACGGGUGUAUGGCUGUGCGCCCUGUUCUCGGAAGCGUCAACGGCUUUCCGGCAUGCGGAUUUCAGCGUUUGGACUCGACUUUUGGUGAGGCUGUCGAUCGACCUUGGGCCUGGUGACAGCACACCCGACAUCGCCAAAGUGCAGCCUAUCAGUUGAGUGCCCCCGAAUGGACCAUCAACAUCGGAAACUGAAGCAGAGCCAGGGGGAAAAAGCUCCGGUAACACCAUGCAUUCAGUAUGGUGGCCCAGACGUGUAUGCAAGCAACCUCCUUCAUGUGGACCAAGAACUACUCUGCAGUGUCUCACAGUCUUCCAUGCGAAGCCCUCAACAUUCUCGUCUCAGUGGAAUGGCUGCCCAUCUAUCUGCGUGUCCAUCACCAAGACGGCUAGUUGUAAAGCUCCUGUACCCGUUUAAGAAAGCUUAAUGAUUUUUUUUAUUUAGUUUUCACGGUUGGCCGUAGAAUCUUAACAUUUUUGAUGUUUCUAACGUUUUUACCUGGCACAAAGUGGCGCAAUAACUUUAAACCAGUGUAAUGUAUUUAAGUGAUGCUCACUCUAAUGCCUAUCUGGUUUUGUUUGUGUUUAAGAAAUUUGAAUGUCUGAUGAGGUAACAGCAUUUAAAUUUGUCAUCGUGGCUUGGUUCAAUGAGCUGCUAGGAAAUAAGAUGCAAAACUUAUCACAUGCCAGUUGUAGCAUUUUUGUAUUCAUGACUAAAGUAUACACGUUUCAAAAGAUGGAAAGUGGGGAAAAAAAGCCUCAAGAACAUAAUCAUCCUAGGAUUGUCAUGUCCUUACAACUCUGCAAUGACUAAUGCCUCAUGCAUCUUGGGAGCACAAUGGUCGCAAUGCCUACAGGUAUACUUGAUAAGAGACUAGCUUGCAAAAAUUUAGUUGAGAGUUAGCGCUCAUCCUGUCUGCUUCUAGUCUGUGUCCAUGCCACUUCGCGCUACAAUCCAAGAUCAUGUUACUGUACCAACUCGCCCAACUUUUUAUCCUUGUGUUAAAGACACACUCAGACUUGUUCUUACUUAUGUGACCGGUUAUUUUUGUGCUUUAUAAUAAGAUGCAGUGCUUUUCGAAUGAAAACGUGAUAUUUAGUAGUGAGGUUAUUUAAAAAAACUGUUCUGCUUAAAAUUUAAUUGAGCAAGCCUGUGCCAUUAUUCGGUGCUUAUGUCUUUGUAUUGGUAUGGUUUUACUCAUCUUCCUUUUUACUUUUAAAAUGUGCAAACAUUAUUAUGUAACCAUUUCUCUUGAAUGAAAUAAAUACUUCUGACAUUUCGUCACAAA